GAAUAUGCUCCUGUAGCCUCGCUUGAGCGGUCGCUAGCCAUGUUUGGAUCAACGUUUAAUGUCGCAGGUGGCGACUGGGGCAUCAAAUCUCAUGGGAAGAAGAAGGAAUUCAGGUCUAGUUUUUCCAGGGUCAGGUUAUAUGAUCUUAGGGCCUUGUAAGAGACAAUGGGCCUAGGUUGUUUAGAGUUGGUUUAUUCUCUUGCUUCUGGGGUCUUUCUCUGUAAUGGCUCUGGGCUUGAGCUUUAAUUGAUUUUUACGUAUAGGCCAUUUUAUGUAUUUGAUCCAUUAAUGAGUUGUAUUCUACCAUAAGGUGAGAAAG
rnacentral:misc_RNA from 1 species